CACGCAGGCGGUUUGUUAAGUCAGAUGUGAAAUCCCCGGGCUCAACCUGGGAACUGCAUCUGAUACUGGCAAGCUUGAGUCUCGUAGAGGGGGUAGAAUUCCAGGUGUAGCGGUGAAAUGCGUAGAGAUCUGGAGGAAUACCGGUGGCGAAGGCGGCCCCCUGGACGAAGACUGACGCUCAGGUGCGAAAGCGUGGGGAGCAAACA
rnacentral:rRNA from 1 species